AUAACAAAAAUAUUGCAAUGUGAAAAAUUACAAAAUUCUAGUUGCCGCUUAAUUUUGGCGGCCAGUGUACCUAUCACUUAAUUGGGUGUUUUAGUUUUUGCUUUUGUGAACUAUUUUAAUUUUUUAGAGUUGUAAUGCUUUACCGCAUCUUGAUCUACAAAGUAAAAGAGUUGUAAUGGCUCGUAUAGGGGAAGCCAUAAAAAGGGGUGCCAGCAGGGUGGUAGUCGUUUAGGAGGUUGUAUCGUUAGCAUUUAAAUACAUAUCUACUUUGAAAUUUUUACCCCGCAAAAGUAACUCGUGACGUGAUUUGACGCGCAAAAGUGAAACUUCAAAAUAAAUCAUCUGUCAACAAACUGCAACUUUACAAUGCCUUUGACUUGUGCAGUAGCUGAUUGUGGCAAUACGUAUGAAAAGGGAAAAGCAAUUAGGAUAUUCCCAAAAAUAAAGCUUUAUGUGAACAAUGGAUAAAAUUUUGUGGCCGUGAACGCCCCUUUAAUGGAAGAACGUGGAGAAUCUGUUCAGUGCAUUUUGACGAACAAGAUUACGAAAGAGACUGAGUUAUUAAACUAUACAUCAAAAGGCGACGUAAACUCAGACAGGGAGCUGUUCCAUUCAUAAAAGGAAGGAAACCCAAACAACUACGGACAGUACUAAUUCUUUAUUUGCCUGUCCGAGGGGAGAGCAAGAAGAGCCCAUGACGGUAGACACUGUAUUUUCUUACCAUCAAGACAAUAAUAAUAUGAUAACGAAUCUCUAAAACACCGUUGAACAAUUAAAAAAAGAACUUUCUGAAAAAGAGCAACAAAUACGACUGCUAAGAAAAAAAGGUAACAUACUAAAAACCUUAAACAGACAAAAAUUAUCAGUUUGGUGUAAAUGUAAUAAUAUUUUAUCAAAUUUGUUGACGCCUGCUCAGAUUCGUAAAUUAAAAGAUCUAAAAAAAUUAUAUGGGCGUCAGAAGAUAUCAACAAAGCCUUUACAUUAAGAUAUCUAAGAAGACCUAGGUGUAUUGGAGAGAUUCCUUGAAUUAUCCUUUACCAGGAAUUUCAACAUUGCAAAAAUGGGAAUCAAAGAUGAUGUGCAGCAGGGUGUAUAGAAAACGGUCUUGCAGUUUUUGAAAAUUGCGGAAACCAAUAUGUCAGAACCUGAGCGGCUGAUGGUUCUUCAGAAAGACGAAAUGAAAGUGGCUGAAACAUGUAAAACACAAUCGCAUAAUACGACCUCAUUCACAACUUCAGGUUGUAAAUGACAGAAGUUUGAUUGGAAAAUGGAAGACUCCUGUUUUUGUCGAUUUCUAUCAAAGAAUUACAUCAGUAAUUUUACAUAAUGUUAUAAAUGAACUAAAUUACGAGUAUGUAGGUUUUAAAAUUAUUGCAUGUGUAAGCGAUUGUGGACCGAGAAAUAUCUCACUGUGGCGUGAUCUAAAUGUUGUAUACGAACAUCCAUUUAUUAUCCAUGAACUAGCUGGUUCCAAGAUUUAUUUUUUUUUGCUGAUGCUCCGCAUCUUUUGAAACUAAUUAGAAAUUGGUUGCUAGACUCAGAAUUUCUGUACAAUGGUUGUAAUAUUAAUACAGAUAUAUUGGUGGAAUUAGUUUCAUGAAAUUAGCAGCUGUUUUAAAUUAACAGCGAACCAUUUAAUUGUCGAAGGCCCAAGUAGGCAGAACGUUCAUAUUUAGCAGCUGAAUUAUUAAGUUACACAGCAGCAGUUGCCUUAAAACAUAUUUACCCAAACAACCCCACCGCAAUUGCAACUCCCAGUUUCAUUGAACUUGUAAAUAAUUGGUAUGACAUUAUGACCUCAUACAAACCGAACAACGAAGUAAUUAUUAAAUCUGCCUAUGGUAAAGAUAUUCAUAAUCAAAACAGUGUUCUACAUGAGAUGUAAAAACUUAUGAGUACGACCAUUUUUAAAAGAAAAAGAACAAUUCAAACGUUUCAAAAAGGAAUUCUUUUAUCUAUUAAUUCAUUGAAACAUUCAUAUAAAGAUCCUAAUGAGAACUAUGAAAUAACUUAUGUUUUGACUCACAGGUUGAAUCAAGACUCGUUGGAUAAUAAUUUAUUUGGUCAACUCAGAACGCGAGGAGACUUAAAUGAUCAUCCUACUCUACUACAUGCUCCACAAAGAUUACGACUGAUUAUUUUAGGAAAAUCUACAAAUCUUCAGAAUAAUUCAAAUUCGAAUCACUGUUCAGAUGUUUAUACAAGGUGUUUAUAAAUGUCUGGGCAUCAAGUUGGCUUUUCAAAUUAUGUCAACAUGUUUUUGACAACCAUUUGCCGCUUCACUGAUAUUUUGAAUUCAGCACUUUCAAUCCGUCAAAUUUAUCGGUUGAAUAAAAGAUCAAACGAGCAAAAAUGAGUGUUUGUUAAGUGAAAUUUAACGUUUGUCUGAGAAAAGUGUCUGAAAGUCCCAUGAAGCUUUCUUGGAGGGCUCCAUUGCUUCACAUCGUCGUCACAUGAUGAAUUCUAAAAUGUAGUCUCUUUGUCCCAAAUUCGGCCUUCAGGGAUCGUCCCGGCACUUCAGAGUCUUCUUAGAUCGGUUAAAUUAAAAAAGUAAAGUUAUGUUAAUACUCGUCUGUCAAAAAGAUCCGUCGUUUGCACAAUUUUGCUGUGCUUUUGAGCAAUUUUCAUAGAAAACCAAGUAUGGUGAAUUGGAAUUAGACACUGAAGAAGCUGCACUCUUCAUUUGACAAAGAAUUGCGUGCUUUUAGAUAUCGUGGCUUCUACAGGAAGAGCGAUGGUUUAUCCCCAGACUCAGGUCGGAUUCAUGUGAAAAAUACAGAAAAAAUUAAUUUUGGAAACGAUAUUGGAUUCAUAUCGUUUUUAAAAAGAAUUUAUGAGAUCUUCUAUUGGAUUAUUUGAUGAUUUUUCGCUUAUAAAUUUGUGAACAUGCUUUCUUUCUACUGGUGUUCAAGUGCUCAUGAUUUUUUUGUAUGACAGAGGUGUUUCAAAUCUUGGUGGGUGUCCACUAUGGCAGAUUAUAGACUGAAUUCACAAGACUAGACUAAAAUUGUUUCAAGUAAGCAGUGGAAAUGCCAACUAUUAAAUGAUGUCUAACGUUUGGCUGAAUUGAAACCUCACUUAUGAAAAGGAUCCUAAAUAAAGAAGAUAAUAACCCCAAAAACUAAUUUUUUAUUAUUGUGCAAGUGUUUCCAAUUUAUUAAUACGCAAUGUAAACUCCGUACAAUUUAAUUGAGUCCACCUCGUGGUAAUUUCGGUGAGAAUGGGGUCUAAGUCAAUUGCACAGGAAGUGCACCCAAUUAAACCGCACGGUCUUUACGACAGUUGAGUUAUUGGUUGCCCACUAAAACUACGUAAAAGAAAGUAGAAAAUUAACUCCAUAUUUUGUUGUUAAAUCUAUGUUAAAUAAAUUGAAACAACACGUUAAGAAAACUA